CGUCACCUUGGCGCAUAUAUGUGGAUUCGCUCAGGCGUGUGAUGUGCCAACUCUUCCUUGAUUGUCUAUCGCCCAAUGAAAUGUGGACACAUAGCGAGGAAAAUCCAUGAUGAUAACGGCACAAGAUGUUGCAUUCUGCGUGAUGCUUCACAAGGAUUCCCGACGAGCCUCCGGUGCUGUGGUCCAUUUUAUAGGAUUUACAGUGUGAUCUUGAAUAAAACCAUCAGUGUAGGACACCAGCGUGUGUUUGAUCCCUCAGUUUAUAGUGAUAAAUUGUGGUUUCAAAUCCCAGAAAACAGUGAAAAUCCACAGAUUACUUGUAAACUGAUUUCCCAGGAGUUUGAGCCAUAUAGAUCCAGCAAUAUUCCCACUAGACAGACUGGCGACCUGUCCAGGGUGUCCCCUGCCUUUGCCGGGGUCAGCUGAGAUAGACUCCAGCACCCCCCGCGACCCUAGUGAGGAUAAAACGGUGUAUAGAGGAUGGAUGGAUGGAUGGAUGGAUGGAACAUUCCCACUAUGUGUCUUAUGAAAUUCAAUUUUUAAAGAAGGAUCAAGGGACAGUUCUUGCUCCUACACAAUGCUCUAGUAAGGUGGAACUACAACAUAGCCAACAAAAUUGGACAUUUUAUGAAAUUCCAGCCAUUCCUUUGAACACUCAGGGGCAUGUGUUUUAGUUUUGCACCCAAACAGCAUCCUACAACAGAGUGGAUGUCAUGAAACAACUGAGUCUCUGUACUGGAAUUGAUAAAGUGCAGACGGAGAAGAUACAUUUUGACACUUCCUGAAUGACUCGGUGAAGGUGUCAGACAGUUUUGAGGGACUUGAUCAUGUUGACAGACAUCUAGAUCCUUAUAUUGCAAAUGAUCUGUGGUGCCGUUCUACCUGAAAUGAUUUCUUAGAUGACAAACAGUGGAGUUUUGGACAUUUAAGUACCCGACUACAACCCAAAGCGACAUGCAUUUUAACCCCUUUAGACCUGUUUUUUCUCCGGUUGCUUUUCACUCUUUUCCAGUAUAGUAGUGCAGGGAAAAACAGUCAUUUUUGCCAAGUUCAUUUUUUAAAAUUGUAGUUUUACAUGUCGAUUUCAGUGGACGCCACGACUGAUUGGGUGUGAGAUGUCAUUAAAACUUAAGAAAAACAGGAUACUUUUUCAACAUUUGGAAGUUGAUGUCUUCAAACAAAUAACAAGGUUUUUUUUUAAUUGAACAUUAUUGAAUGUGCCUUUGUGUAUUUCUUUGUUCUUGCAUUGUGCAUAAUCAGUUACUCUAUAGGCUUUAAACAGUUUAGGUUUAGAGCAAAGGUUAGAUGCUGUAUCUGGUCUAGAUUUGGAUUUAAGAUGGGGUUGUAAAUGCUCACAGAGUCUUAGAGUCAGACUAAUUUCUGGGUAGGUUUUCUGUGGGUCAGAUGAGGAAGAAUCUAUGAAUGCUAAUGAAAUCACAGUGUGAGGGAUAACCUCCUUAAACAGUGUUAAUUUUUGACUGGUCAAUAUUUGUGCAAUACUUCUGUCACAAAAAUAGGAUAUGCUCUUUUAAAAUGCAUUUUACACUGAUUUUUUUUGCAUAAAAUUACUUUUAAAUGUUGAAUACAAUCUAACUUUUUAUCUUAUGGUUAUUGUCAUUGUCUGUGUGCAGGUCUGAACAUGAACAACUUUACAUGAAGGCCUCUUGCAUCUGGUGGCCUCUCUCUUACCAUCAUAAUUUCCCAUGUGCUCGGAUGAUACUGUGAUUGCUGGAUGCGUCGAGGAUGGACAGGAGGGGACGUACAGACGUGGAAGUGGUCCGGACAUAUAAGUACUUGGGACUGCAGCUGGACAAUAAACUGGACUGGUCAGAUAACAUGGACAGCAUCUACAGGAAAGGACAGAGUCAUCUGUACUUCCUGAGGAGACUAGGGUUCUUUAACAUCUGCAAGAAACUGCUGUUGAUGUGUUAUCUAUCUAUCUAUCUAUCUAUCUAUCUAUCUAUCUAUCUAUCUAUCUAUCUAUCUAUCUAUCUAUCUAUCUAUCUAUCUAUCUGUCUAUCUGUCUAUCUGUCUAUCUGUCUAUCUGUCUGUCUGUCUGUAAACUGCUCUUCAGGUAGGGGCUUUACUGAAAUUUUUUUGCUAUGUUAGACAUGCUGGAUCUAAUGACGAAAUCACUGUUUUUUAUUGAUCUAGACUCAAAAAUAUGUCAUGUCCAUUCCAGUGGUUGCAGCGUAUGAAGGGGCUAAGGUGAACUUUUAUAAUCUCGGCUCAACAGAGAGUCUGUCUCCUGGUCACGCUGUCUGAUCAUUGUCCUUUAAAUCCACAGUUAUACUCAGUGGUUGCAAAUUUGUUGCCGGUUGAACAGUUCUCAAAUAUUUUGUGCACGAUUGGCGAAAUUUUCCAGACACAGCAAUAGAAAUUAGGUUUUUAACUUCUUCCACUAAGCCAGAAAAGAGCACAGUUUACAUGCUGCAUUUGUAUUUUUUGUCAGUGUAGUAAGAGAGAUUUCCUGUUUUAUUCAUAAAGCAUUUGAAAACAUCCCCUGUAACAUUGAAAAAAUAAUCAUGCAAUUAAAAGUUGUUCCUGCACGGACUUCUGCCCGAGCUGUGAUACUAAAUAGCAUCUUUACUGUGAUUUCUAUGUCCUUUAUUUGACUUUUUUGUCACACAGUCAGGUGAAAAAUGAAAGGAAAAAACAUUAUAAAGUGUCAUACUAAGGUAUUGAGCCUCCACAUGCCAUUAAAUUGACUUUUUCAACUCUGUAAGAUUCUGGAGGGAUACUGGAGGGAUAUUUGUCCUUUUUAUGUUUUGUGUAAUGUCUGCUCAUCUUCUGGUAGCUGUGAAGGCCAUAGCAUUUGUAUUCACAUCAAUUUCGUAUUCAUUAAACCGUUUAGUGAUCCACCUAUGCACAUUAUCACCCUGGAAGAAACCCAUCGCCAUCACAAAUAUUUCAUUAUAGGAUAAAGGUGAUCAGUUAGAGCAACUUUGUGUUGAUUGGCAGUGAUCUGUUCUUUUGAAAAGAUAAAUGGAGACAAAGCAUGGCAGCAAAAUGCCCCCAACAACAUAGCAUAUCCACCAGAUUGCCUCAAUGGAGCGAUCAAGGGUUCAGGUUUUUCCUUUAAUUUGUCACUAGUCUUUUUGUGUAGUAUGAGUCAGACAAAAGCUGCUGCUACAUAAAGAUCUUAUUCUCUAGCA